GGAGAUGGAGUAGAAUCAAACGAAAGAGGAUAAGAUGGAGAAUUUUAUGAGAGACUCCACCACAUAGAAAAGGGGUAAUGAAUAAAAUUAAAGCCUUGUGAAGUUCACAAGACAAUAAGAAAUUAAAUUCUCAGUAAUUAAGCACAUAGGGAACUAAAAGGUUAUGCAUUGGAAACAGGCAGGGUAAUCAAAUCUCCCCCGAAAUGAAAAGAUAAAUAAAUGGUUAGGAAGGAUUUAGUUAGUUAAUCAAAUCACCUUCACCAAAAAUGUCAAAGACACAUGAAGUUGGAUUAAUGACUGCAGUGUCUGCAGGAGGACAGGAUAGUACAGCUAAUUGUGUUGACAGAAUAUCCAAUUUGCCUGUCGAAAAUCGAAAUUAUCCGUCAUAUUCACUUCCUCCUUCCCAUCAGAGAUGCACAGAGAACCUGUGUUUUAUCCCAGAGAUGGCGAACCAUUUGGGCUUCUCGCCCUGAAAUUUAUUUUGACGAAGCGGAAUUAUGGGUCAAGUUUUGGACAUACAAUGAAGGAGAUACAGCAAGAAGAGAUGCCUUCUUAGCUUACAUGAAAAAUUCCUUGGACCACCGUGAGAAGUCUGAAUAUGGUGCUGAAGUUAACUCACUCUUUCUUCGUAUGACAGUUGAGAAUUCUUA
rnacentral:lncRNA from 1 species